rnacentral:rRNA from 1 species
AGAGUUUGAUCCUGGCUCAGAACGAACGCUGGCGGCGUGGAUAAGACAUGCAAGUCGAACAGGACUUUUCGUUGUAGCAAUACGAUGGAAAGUCUAGUGGCGAACGGGUGCUUAACACGUGGGCAACCUGCCUGUAAGACUGGGAUAACUUCGGGAAACCGAAGCUAAUACCGGAUAGGAUCUUCUCCUUCAUGGGAGAUGAUUGAAAGAUGGUUUCGGCUAUCACUUACAGAUGGGCCCGCGGUGCAUUAGCUAGUUGGUGAGGUAACGGCUCACCAAGGCAACGAUGCAUAGCCGACCUGAGAGGGUGAUCGGCCACACUGGGACUGAGACACGGCCCAGACUCCUACGGGAGGCAGCAGUAGGGAAUCUUCCGCAAUGGACGAAAGUCUGACGGAGCAACGCCGCGUGAGUGAUGAAGGCUUUCGGGUCGUAAAACUCUGUUGUUAGGGAAGAACAAGUACGAGAGUAACUGCUCGUACCUUGACGGUACCUAACCAGAAAGCCACGGCUAACUACGUGCCAGCCGCCGCGGUAAUAC